AUCGCCGCGAUGGUGUUCUUUCAUGGCUGACUUUGCUUGCGUCAGUUUUCAUUACUGCAUGUUCUUGUGGCUUCCUCAAUAUUUUCGGCAUCUGCUACAAUUAUUUUCUGGAGAGGUUUGGUAAUUCAAAGGAAAAGACAGGUAACAGGAAAACUACUCUCACAUAAUUCAAGCAAGUCGCACAAAAAGAAAAAAGACUCGCAGAAAAAUGAAUCUCUUCACACAUUUUUAGUUUCAGUCGCAUAAGAUACUGCAAAUCGCACAUAAAGCAGAAUGAGUCCCACAAUUAGAAAAGAGGUCGCACUUAAAGAAGAAUGGGUCACACGUUGGAGAAGGGCCAUGUCUUGACACAGCGCUCGUAAUAACAAAAGCAUGGACUGGCUCAC